GGGGCACAGCUCAGUGGUAGAUGAUCUGUUUUGCAUGCAGAAGGUUCCAGGUUCAAUCCUUGGCAUCUCCA